ensembl:lncRNA
UGGGACCAGAGCCGAUCAGCCCUAUACGCUCACUACGCAAGCUGCGUAGGGCCCCGCAAAUUACUCAAGGCCCCGCCUCCUCCUCGUGUCAUAGCGCGUCACGUCACCGUCAAUUAAUGUUUACAACAUCCAUGACAAAAUGAAGCGAAACUAUCCUUCUGGUCACGAAAAGAGGAAAAAAAAACCAUGAAAGUGAACUGCGGGAACAACAAUCAGGUAAACUUGUCUUCUCUCCUCUCUAAGUUUGAGGUCAGCAAAGUAAAGUUUAUGUGCAUUUCAGUUGUGUUUUUUCGGUCUUGCUAACCUAGCUGGGCAGGCAGGCAGUGCAUCUCUUGCAUCACUUUGUGCCUGACAAAAGUGAGAGUAAAAUACAAUUAUUUAUUACGUUUGUUUUUGAUAAACGACAAAGUGCAACGGUGUUUGUUUACUGCAGCUCGGAAAAGAUAACCGCGUCGCGUGUGUUAUCAUGCGUUCAUAUGCGCAUGCACGAAAUGAAAUGCGCAUUUUUCAAGCAGAAAUAUAUGUGGAGACCAGACAGACUGUACAAUAUAUGGGCGUGAAUGAUGGCACUCCUACAUACUUUUAAAACAAGACACUGAUUAUCUAGUCUCAGUCAAUGUGUAGUUAAAAACUCUAUAGGCCUACAACUGCACUGCACUAAUUAUGCAAAAUGGAAAGCAAUGUAUUGAUAAUUUGACAGUGAUUGACUUGAUUUAUAGGCUAUAUUGAAUUUAAAAUGUUGAUUAGCUGGACAUACUGGUCAAUGUGUGGAUGCACAUCCCUCAGUUAAUAAUAACCAUAAAUCAAGAAUUGCUUCACCAUAUAUAUUACAAAAAUAAAAAAAAACCUUUAACAUGCUAUGGCAAGCCAUUUUAGCUUUUAUUCAUUCACAGUUUAUGCAUUUUUGAUAUCAAGCAUUAAAUUUUUUUACUAUUUGCAAUGUGAACAUUCAAAUGUUUACGCAUUUGUAACUUGUAACGAGUAACAUGUAAGAUUGUGUAAAUGACUGUUUAACUAACUAUGUGAUAUUCUUCUCAGUUUCUUCUAGACAGUCCAAAUAGACUGGUGUUGCCCAUACUGAUGCCGAAAAUGCCCAGGCUGUAGAGAGAACCUAAGUUAAUCCCAAAAGCCAAAGCUCAGAGAGGGAGGAUUGUAUUGGGAUCACUGAAGUGUCAGGUGUGACUGUGUGGCAAUGGCAAAUGGUUUACAUAGCUCACGGCGUCACGGGUCAGUUAGAGGGCCCCUUAGCAGAAUUUUGCUUAGGGCCCCAGGGAGGUCAGGAUCGGCACUGC